rnacentral:snRNA from 1 species
GUACUCGCCUUGGCAGUACACGUACUAAAGUUGGAAAUUAUUAGCAUGGCUCUUGCUCAAGGAUGACACUCAAAUUUGUGAAGCAUUCCAUAAUUUG